rnacentral:lncRNA from 1 species
GAAACAAGAAAGGGCAAGACGCUGUAGUGAAGUUGCAACAAAACGUGAUGCUUCUAUACCAUUGCUUACAACAGGGCAAAUAGCACCCACAAACCAAAUUUCUACAUGUUCAAAAAAGAGGAAAAUUCUUCCCCCAGUGCAGAAAGAAGUGCAAACCCCAGCCACGGAUUGUUCAACACACUCUAGUGGCACGGUUUUAAAGGCAAAGAUAUCUGCACCUACUCACGUGUUCAGUCUAAGUGAGCGCAGUACCCCAAGAAAGAGGAAGACUCCCCAUGGGAAAA